rnacentral:lncRNA from 1 species
GGCGCUGCCGGCCCCGGCCCGGAUGCCAGCGCGGUGAGGUGGAGCUGGGAGCGGCCGCCAGAACUGGUUUGGCCGGACGCGAGGAGGUGUCUGGGCUGGGCUCCGAGACGCUCCGCUUCCUCCUCCCGCCGCCGCCCGCCUGGCACGGCACCGCUCCGCUCAGCCCGGCACGGCUCCGCUUGGCUCCGCUUGGCUCAGCCCAGCACGGCUCCGCUUGGCACAGCUUGGCUCAGCCCGGCACGGCUCCACUCGGCUCAGCCCAGCGCAGCUCAGUUCAGCUCCACUCAGCCUGGCUCAGCCCAGUACAAUUCAGCCCAGUUAGGCUCAGUUCAGCCCAAUUUGGCUCAGCUUGGCCUGGUUUGGCUCAGCCCAGCCCAGCUCAGCUUGGCUCGGCUCAUUUUGGCUCAGCUCAGCCCAGUUCGGCUCAGCCCAGCCCGGCUCGGCUCGGCUCAGCUUGUUUUGGCUCAGUUCAUCCCAGUUUGGCUCAGCUUGGCCUGGUUCAGCCCAGCCCAGCCCAGCCUGGCUCGGCUCAGCUCACCACCGCCUCCCUGCAAAGCCCAGCGCCGGAGUUGGGGGUGCUGGGGCUCUCGGGGACAGUUUGGGAGGAUUCAUCCCAUGGGGCUGCAGUGAGCUGCCACCGCAAGGAAGCAGCUCCAAGGGGUGGGGGGAUGCGCGGGCAGUCAGGGAUUCUCUGGCGUCUCGUACGAGGUUGUGCUCGCAGCRGGGCACAUGCUCCCCAUCUCCCCGGCUGCCUCUUCCCGGAAACACGUGGGUGUUUGAGGCCGAUUUGGGUCCUAAAGUGUUUGGGGCUGGGGCAGGAGGGACAGCGGGAGACCCAGCGGAGAUGCCACCGCCCCUGGGGCGCAGCAGGAGGCCUGGCCUGGCUCUCGGCAGCACUCGUGGGCUGUGGUGGGGGAUGGCAGCUGGACAUGUCCCCCCAGCCGACAUCCCACGGGCUGAUGGGCAGAGCUGGCUGCUGUCCCGCAGCCGGUGACACCUCGCCAGGGUCCCACGGGACCCACCACGCUCCAUUCCCAGCACCCUGAUCCAGACCAGGGUUUCCUGGAGACCCAGCCAGGUGCCUUCGCUUUCACCC